UCCCUGGUGGUCCAGUGGUUAAGACUCCGUGCUUCCAACGCAGGGGGCGCAGGUUCAAUCCCUGCUCUGGGAA